CAUUAUCGAAAUCGAACCUCGGGGGAAGGGGGAGGGUCUCCCGAACCCCCUCCGAGGCUUUCAACCCCCUUCUAACACCUGUGUGCACCCGCUGUAGGUCCUCUGUGGGGGACCUAUGUCUUCCCUCCCACUCGCAUGUCUACAGAAUGUCGUCCGUGGCGUCGGGCCACCGUAAACCAUAAUACAACUUUCAGCGAUGGAUCUCUUGGCUCUCGCAUCGAUGAAGGACGCAGCGAAUCGCGAUAAGUAAUGUGAAUUGCAGAUUUUCCGUGAAUCAUCGAAUCUUUGAACGCACCUUGCGCUCCUUGGUAUUCCGAGGAGCAUGCCUGUUUGAGUGUCAUCGAAACAUCGAAUCGAAGCUUUCGACCUGGUCGGAGCUCGGCUCGGACCUGUGGGAGUCUGCAGGCAAACCUCCCGUCGGGGGUAGGUCGGCUCUCCUCAAAAACAUUAGCGGGGUGGGUGCGAGCCCUUGCGCAGCACGGCCUCUUCGACGUCAUAAUGACCGUCGUGGGCCGGAAGUGCUAGGAUCGUGGUCGUCCCCGUCGCUUCUCGAACUCUGCGAGCCCGUCCCUACGGCCGCGUGUCAUCGACGCUUGACCUCAAAUCAGGUAGGACUACCCGCUGAACUUAAGCAUAUCAAUAA
rnacentral:sRNA from 1 species